UCCGGUUUGUCACCGGCAGUCACCUUAGAGUGCUCAGCAUUACCUGAUGGCAACUAAGAACGAGGGUUGCGCUCGUUGCGGGACUUAACCCAACACCUCACGGCACGAGCUGACGACAGCCAUGCAGCACCUGUACAAGUUCGCCUUGCGGCACCCUGACUUUCAUCAGGAUUAACUUGCGUUUCAAGCCUAGGUAAGGUUCUUCGCGUUGCGUCGAAUUAAACCACAUGCUCCACUGCUUGUGCGGGCCCCCGUCAAUUCCUUUGAGUUUCAACCUUGCGAUUGUACUUCCCAGGUGGAAUACUUAAUGCGUUAGCUUGGAUACUGAUCCUAAAAAGGACCAACAUCUAGUGUUCAUCGUUUAGGGUGUGGACUAC
rnacentral:misc_RNA from 1 species